CCUACGGGUGGCAGCAGUGAGGAAUAUUGGUCAAUGGGCGCGAGCCUGAACCAGCCAAGCAGCGUGAAGGAUGACUGCCCUACGGGUUGUAAACUUCUUUUAUAAAGGAAUAAAGUGAGGCACGUGUGCCUUUUUGUAUGUACUUUAUGAAUAAGGAUCGGCUAACGCCGUGCCAGCAGCCGCGGUAAUACGGUGGAUCCGAGCGUUACCCGGAUUUAUUGGGUUUAACGGGAGCGUAGAUGGGUUGUUAAGUCAGUUGUGAAAGUUUGCGGCUCAACCGUAAAAUUGCAAUUGAUACUGGCAGCCUUGAGUGCAGUUGAGGUGGGCGGAAUUCGAGGUGUAGCGGUGAAAUGCUUAGAUAUCACGAAGAACUCCGAUUGCGAAGGCAGCUUACUAAUCUGCCACUGACAUUGAUGCUCGAAAGUGUGGGUAUCAAACAGGAUUAGAUACCCGAGUAGUC
rnacentral:rRNA from 1 species